rnacentral:tRNA from 1 species
GCACCUGUGGUGGAAUUGGCAGACACGCCGGAUUUAGGUUCCGGUCCGCAAGGGUGCAGGUUCAAGUCCUGUCAGGUGCA